GGCCGGUCAUUCACCCUCAAGUACCAGCUCCCGAACGAAGACCUCGACUCCUUGGUCUCUGUUUCCUCCGACGAAGACCUCGACAACAUGAUCGACGAAUACGACCGGAUUGCUGCCGUCGCCGCAGGCGGCGGUGCUCGAAUUCGACUGUUUGUGUUCUUCAACAAGCCGGCCACUGCCGCUUCGAUGGGCUCCAUCAGAUCCGAGUCGUGGUUCC
rnacentral:lncRNA from 1 species